AUGAGUGCAAAUCGCUUUCCAUUUACAGGAAUCGGGGCUGGGCUCCAAACAGCCUCUGCGGGCUCAUGGCAGGGAUGGGAGUCUGGGCCAUUGACCGGCUCCUCCUUUCCCGAGCUCCUUAAACACGGGCGUUUCCCGGAGCUCCAGCCCAGGGCCAAGCGCUCUGUUGAGGGCGAUCUCUUCUUGCAAGAGUUCGUCCACUCCACUGACGCCAACUCUCCUCUCUAUGCUGAGGACGCCCAGUUAUGUCCCUGGCCCCCAUCCUUUCCUUCCAUUUCAGAUACCCACAUUCAAAUGCCUGUUGGACACGCGUACCCUUUGGUCAUCUACAGAUAUUCUACGUUCCCUGGUCUCAAGCACAUGGGCAUGUCCUUGCCCUCCCGCUAGCCGUUCUCCCCUUACGUGUCCCCCGCCUCCGGUAACACCCCAGCAUCCUUCACGUGGACAACCGCAACCAACUCCUCAGAGGUCUCCUGGGCUCCUGUCUUCCUCCAGAUGACUCCCUCUCUCACCCUACAGUCAAGCUGACCACCUUAGGAUGCAAAUCUCCCUGUGUCUUGCCCGGAGAACACCUGCUGGGUGUCACCUGCAGGUCCCAGCUCCUCAGCUAGGGACACGUGGCCCCUCCCCGUCUCUCCAGCUCAUGCUGUGCCCCACCCUGCCACAGGGGCCCAUGUCCCCCUAUGUUUGCUCAAGUUAUUUUCCUGGCAGGAAGCCACUUUCUCCUUUCUUUUCUUGCAAACUCCUCCUUCAACAUUGACCCCUGUGGGCGCCUCCCCCCUCACCAACUCCAGCUAGGACCCCUGCCCCAUUAAUGUGUCCUUGUGUUCUUUUUCUUACAAGUGUCUCUAUAUCUACCAAAGAAUUUUGAUAAAAUCUCAGGUUCGUGUUUGUCUCUACUUUCUGCAAACCUUGGAGGGUAAGGGGUUUGCACGUUUUUGUACAUGGUCCUAUUCCUUUAUACCCUUAGUGCCCGGCACAGACUGGCUGCUGAUCUGUGCUUGCUUAACUGAGGGAGGCCUUCCCUGCUGACUUAGCCGCCUCUCCCUGCCUCCUUCUGAUCGCCGC
rnacentral:lncRNA from 1 species